AGAAAUAUGUCUGACAAAAGAGUUACUUUGAUANNGUAAAUCAUAGAGGCCUCAGACCCUCUUAUUUCUA
rnacentral:tRNA from 1 species